rnacentral:lncRNA from 12 species
AUGUUCAUUUCUUUUUCAGACAUUGUGGAAUUGAAUCUGGUCUGUGGUUGUUUUCAAGACCUCGAUUCCAAUGAAGGUGCCUCAAUCCCCCUGAGGAAGGAACCAAGCAGAUGGAACCUUUCAGGCUACAAAUAUAGAAGAGCUAGCUGCAAGUAUGUUCUCUGUCCUUGAUGUGAAAAUUCUGUCAUUUUUAAUUCUCCAGCUUGUUUACUUUUCUACUACAUAAGAACUGGGGCUGUUGUUAGCAGCAUUGAUUAAGUUGUCAUUGAUUUUUAAGAUAGGAAAUAGAACUUUCACAUUUCCCACAUGAAUUUAAAGAAAGACAGAUAUUAACAUCAAGAUAAAACAUUUACUAUAACAAUGACACAAUAGUCAAGUAUCAUUCAAAAACUUUCAAGGCUCUCAAAGAGCACGUGGAUUCCAGAUGUCAAUACAUGAGUAGGUAUCAGUUUUACUAUUUCAUCUACAAGAUGCAUCAACCUGCUUCUAGCCCCCAAAAUGAUAGCUCAUUUAUUUUUAUACAUGUUUGUGUUCAAAUUUGCAUAACUUUAUUUUCUACCGUCAACAGAAAUAAGUCUUAUUAUUGACCAGUUUUAUAAUCAGUCUUAUUAUCAGCCAGGCCUCCUGCUAAACCUGCUAAAUUCAGCAGUGUGAAUUAAUCCUCAUAUAAACCUUUAAAUCUCAGUGUCUCGAACUUGGCACUAUCACCAAUUUGGGCCAGGUAGUUACUUGGGAGAGAAGUCGGGUCUGUCCUGUGUAUUGUAGAAUACUGAGCAGCACCCAUGGUCUCUACCCAUUAGAUGCCAGCAGCAAGCCCUUCCCUGCCAAUUUGUGACAAUCAAAAAUGUCAUUGUAAAUGUCCCCUAGGGACAAAUCCCCUGGUUGACAACUAUCGCUUUAAGGUAAAUACUAUUACUUCCGUCCAAUAACAGAACUUAUCCAGGUACACAAAGUCAGCAAGAUGAAUAUCUGGACAGGGAAGGAGAGAUAUUUGGAUUGAAAGCCCAGGAUCGUUACACUAAUUGAUAUUGUUUCCCACUGACUUUAAAGAUACAUGAGCAAGGUUAUAUCUAGAUUGUUAUGAGGCUUUUAUAGUUUUACAGUUUUUACUUUUAUGUAUAUAUGAGUUGAACAUCUACUAUUUGCAAAGUACUAUGCCAAGGUGAAAGGU